UAGGGAAUCUUGGACAAUGGGCGAAAGCCUGAUCCAGCCAUGCCGCGUGAGUGAAGAAGGCCUUAGGGUUGUAAAGCUCUUUUAGCGGGGACGAUAAUGACGGUACCCGCAGAAUAAGCCCCGGCUAACUUCGUGCCAGCAGCCGCGGUAAUACGAAGGGGGCUAGCGUUGUUCGGAAUUACUGGGCGUAAAGCGCACGCAGGCGGAUCGAUAAGUCGGGGGUGAAAUCCCGGGGCUCAACCUCGGAAUUGCCUUCGAUACUGUCGAUCUCGAGUCCGGGAGAGGUGAGUGGAAUUCCUAGUGUAGAGGUGAAAUUCGUAGAUAUUAGGAAGAACACCAGUGGCGAAGGCGGCUCACUGGCCCGGUACUGACGCUCAGGUGCGAAAGCGUGGGGAGCAAA
rnacentral:rRNA from 1 species